rnacentral:tRNA from 4 species
GGCCCGGUAGUUCAGUUGGUUAGAACGCCAGCCUGUCACGCUGGAGGUCGACGGUUCGAGCCCGUUCCGGGUCGCCA